rnacentral:rRNA from 1 species
CCUACGGGAGGCUGCAGUGGGGAAUAUUGCACAAUGGGGGGAACCCUGAUGCAGCAACGCCGCGUGAGUGAAGAAGUACUUCGGUAUGUAAAGCUCUAUCAGCAGGGAAGAAGAUGACGGUACCUGAGUAAGAAGCCCCGGCUAACUACGUGCCAGCAGCCGCGGUAAUACGUAGGGGGCAAGCGUUAUCCGGAUUUACUGGGUGUAAAGGGAGCGUAGACGGCGAGGCAAGUCUGGAGUGAAAGCCCGGGGCUCAACCCGGGGACUGCUUUGGAAACUGCCUGGCUGGAGUGCUGGAGAGGCAGGCGGAAUUCCUGGUGUAGCGGUGAAAUGCGUAGAUAUUAGGAAGAAAACCGGUGGCGAAGGCGGCCUGCUGGACAGUAACUGACGUUGAGGCUCGAAAGCGUGGGGAGCAAACAGGAUUAGAUACCCUGGUAGUC